AAAUGUAAAAAUGAUUAAUUAAUAUUGUUAUAGUUCGAGAUUUUCAACCAAUACAAGGGAGUUCGCAACACGCCUGUGAAAAAGGGCCAGUACGGUUUGGGAAUAAUGAUAAUCGAGGGAAAGCACGCGGAGGUCGGGCAAGGAAUAUUCAUCUCGGACAUACAAGAAGGCAGCGCCGCGGAACAGGCCGGCUUAAACGUGGGUGACAUGAUCCUCGCUGUCAACAUGGACUGUCUUGUGGGCUCGACGUAUGACGAGGUAAUACGCCGUACGAUAAUUAGAACUGGCCGACGGUAGUUGAAACGAGUAUCUCAUUGUUUCCACCGCCUAUUGUUCCCUCGAAAGUUUCCCAGGCAAAUCGCGUUACGACACGACGUACGCUUGGAUUCCGUAACUAAAGCGUCAGAAUUGAAUUAUUGAAAAAUUCGCACCAAUUGCGAAUUUUAAAUCCGAAUAAAAUGGUCAUUAUUGA